rnacentral:rRNA from 1 species
GAUGAACGCUGGCGGCGCGCCUAAUACAUGCAAGUCGAGCGAACGGACGAGAAGCUUGCUUCUCUGAUGUUAGCGGCGGACGGGUGAGUAACACGUGGAUAACCUUCCUAUAAGACUGGGAUAACUUCGGGAAACCGGAGCUAAUACCGGAUAAUAUUUUGAACCGCAUGGUUCAAAAGUGAAAGACGGUCUUGCUGUCACUUAUAGAUGGAUCCGCGCUGCAUUAGCUAGUUGGUAAGGUAACGGCUUACCAAGGCAACGAUGCAUAGCCGACCUGAGAGGGUGAUCGGCCACACUGGAACUGAGACACGGUCCAGACUCCUACGGGAGGCAGCAGUAGGGAAUCUUCCGCAAUGGGCGAAAGCCUGACGGAGCAACGCCGCGUGAGUGAUGAAGGUCUUCGGAUCGUAAAACUCUGUUAUUAGGGAAGAACAUAUGUGUAAGCAACUGUGCACAUCUUGACGGUACCUAAUCAGAAAGCCACGGCUAACUACGUG